CCAAAUUUGUUUUUAGAACUAUACCACCCGUCAAAUAGAAAGUAUAACCAACAAUACAAGACUAAAUACAAUUAAGCAUUCAAAUACCAAAUUCAACAUACAAUCCAAUUCAUUUCAUAAACAAAUCCUAAUUCAAUCCAUUUCAUAAACAAUAUCCAACUAAACAGAAAGUAGAACAAGAACUCAAAAAAUUCAGCAUUCAAUAUUCAACAUCCAGCUACCAUCCAAGACAAACUAAUAAAAGAAAUUAGUCCUUAGUUAUCAUCAGAUGCUGGAGAACGGGACAUGGGAAAUGCACCAGAUACUAAGAGGGAGUUUAUCUGAGAUUGAGACUUUUAACAUCACUAGUGAUAAGUAUUCCAUGGUUAUCAUCAAUCAACUGAUUUUGAAUGAACUCCCCCAAGAUUCGUUUGAAAGUAUCCUGUAAAAAAAAUAUAAUUAUUGUAAAAGUAAACUUUAUUAAAGAAAAUUUAUGCAAGUAUCUUUAUUUCUCAAACUUUAAAGUGAAACACACGGAAAGAUAAAAAGCUAAACAGUCUGGCUGGACUUAAUUAUUUUAAUACUAUAUUUCAAAAAUAUCCAAUGUAUGAAACUUACUCGCAUAUAGACAAUGUAUCAGUACUUCUAAUAGGAAAAAAUUACUACACCUUCUUUUAUGUAAAAAUCAAUACCCAUAAGCCCUCUAAUAGGCACCACUGGCAUUUGCUCUCAAUUAGAUUCUAUCACCUUCAACUUCUAAAGAACUAAACACCUAUAAACAAAGAAAAUUAAAUGGAAAUGUUAAGUUAAGACUGUAGCACCUCCUUAGGGAGGUUUCCACUUAUUAAAAAAUAGCUAAUCUAACCUACUAGCAAUUAUUAUUUGAAAGUAAUUUAAACACAUUAUUAUCAUAAUCUAUUAGCGGAAAUAGACCCAUGUGAACGAGGUUCAAAAUACGACAUUUCAACAUAGUAAAAUCUCAUAAAAUUCUUAAAAGUACGAGAAUAUUACUUUUAAAAAUAGUGAGCAAAACCUAUUGAAUUAAAUCAAUACCGUAAGUUGUAUCAAAUAAUUAUCCGUAAUUCAAGAAAAAAGAAACAAGCUCAUUUAUAAUAUUUUCCUCAAUAACUAAUACAUUUGUUUGCAAAUUAUAUUUAUCAUUCAGUACCCUCAAUUCAAGAUAGAACUCGUAGCCAAUAGGGUACACCUUUUAGUGCCUUGCCUACAUUGAAGCAUAUCUUAAGCGAGGUAAAGCUCCCUUCCGGAGCUGUUCUGAGCUUCGGAUCUUGAGCGUGCCUUAAAUGAGCCCUUGACAAUAUUGAUAACUAGUAGAGGAAUAUUUUUUAAUACUACAACAUUCAAGACUCAUUCUAAGCAUGAAAUUUAACUCUUAAUCUCAAAUACAAACAAGUUAAGUCUCCCAAGUUUAAUACAAGUACCAAAUUAAAUAUAUCACAAGAAUUGGGCAAAGACUAUGCCAAUAUAGUUGAAUCAUUCACAAAUCGAGUUACCAAUUCUAAUAUCUCUUUAACUCAACUACAAAACUUAACCCUCAGUGGUAGACAAACAAUUAAAAUAUCCGAAAAUAUUUCUAAAUUAGUCAUAGCAAGUAGGGUACUAAAGUAGGAACAACCAAUAUAAUAACUUAACGUAAAGAAAACUUUUACCAAGACUCAAGCUAUUCAAUUAACUCCAACAAAAUAAAGCGAAUGAAUAAUUCAAGUUUCUAAAGCUCAAUCAAAUAUUAAGGAAAUAUAAAUUCUCAAAGCAAGUCAAGCCAUUAUAUGUCAAUGGGUCUAAAUGGGUCUCUACAAUUCACAAUUCUUAAAGAGAAAAUCUGGGUAGCAGCUCUGCCCUAUAUUACAGCAGAUAUUUGAGGCAGUAAACUACAGAACUGGACAUCUUGGUCUGUAUAAUAAUUGUAGAUAUAUCUCUUAUCUUUUUACAGCCUUUUAAAUCACCCCAUUCCGAUUUUUAGAGAAAAAGUUAUGCCCAAAAUAGUAACUGCUGUCCAAUUAAAAAACGGGAUUAAAUUUUUGAUUUUAAAUGACUAAAAUUUACCAUGCAAAAGAUAUGCUAAUUCACAUAUAGAUAGAGUAAGAAACUUACUGCAAGUUUGAGAGAGUUUCUCCACAAAAUUCAAAGCCUAGAGUUUCCAAAAUAAGCUCAAUCCAUCUUGAUUCUUAAAGGUAAAAUCCAAAUCUUCCUUCAAUAGGUAAGUAAAUAAGUUUUAAUAUUUUAAAACUUGAAUUUUAAUGAUGGAAAAAGAAUUGCAUGUAUAUGUGUUGAGCUCUUCAAUGGUGUUUGAUAGAUGAAGAAGGAGGACAAGAUUUAAAAUCCUUGGGGGGAUGUAGAGAUUUUUCUUUGGGGGCUGCCGAACGAAUCCCCCAAAGAAAAAUCCUUGAAUGAGU
rnacentral:lncRNA from 1 species